AUUGAACGCUGGCGGCAUGCUUUACACAUGCAAGUCGAACGGUAGACCCUUUCGGGGUGAGAGUGGCGAACGGGUGGAGUAAUGCAUCGGAACGUGCCCAGUCGUGGGGGAGUAACGCAGCGAAAGUUGUGCUAAUACCGCAUACGACCUGAGGGUGAAAGCGGGGGCCGGUAACGGCCUCGCGCGAUUGGAGCGGCCGAUGUCUGAUUAGCUAGUUGGUGAGGUAAAGGCUCACCAAGGCGACGAUCAGUAGCGGGUCUGAGAGGAUGAUCCGCCACACUGGGACUGAGACACGGCCCAGACUCCUACGGGAGGCAGCAGUGGGGAAUUUUGGAC
rnacentral:rRNA from 1 species